GCGAAUGUGCCAAUUAUGAGCAGAUUGAUUUAAUUGCCAAAUGAUGAUGAUGUUGCAUACCUUUGGUCUAAUGUUUGUGGCUAGCGCAUCCUGACCCUCUCGCUGCCGGGGGUAAUUGCACUCGCGUCCUAAUUAUCCCUGCCACUCGGCUGGAGCGGCUGGUCUAGCGCGCGCUGGGUGGACAAAUUGCUCGUCAACGCUACCAUUACAUCAAACCACCUGCUCCUAUGCGCCGGCCGAGCGCACUUAGCGCACCCAACGGUGGUUGCGGUAUAAAAUCUGGGUCGGAAAAGAAAUUUCGCCCUCCGGGGUUGAUCGGGAAUCGAUCUGGCGGUGCCUUCGUGCCCUUCGUCCACCCUGGGAUCAAUCACGGGAGAGGGGAGGGUGAUUAUGCAGGUGGCCUCUGUCGCUGCUAAUGGUCCGGACGCCCGGAAUCGUCACUUAGGUGCAAUUAAGUGACCGUGGCUCGUUUUGCUUCCGGUGUUACACACGCUCACGGCACACAACCGUGUCACAUCAUGAGCCAUCAGCAUGUCGUCUCGGGCAGGUAUCGUUGAGUGUGAGAUGAAAUCGAUACGUGCGAUGAUGGGCGGAUGGAUGGGGGCGAUCGUCAACUACCUUUCCACAUGCUCAGCACGGGCUGUAGCGUUUGCUGUUGGGACGGGGAAAAGAUGAGCAUUAUUAUAACAAUAUUACAGUAGUCGGCGCAGUGGUCAAUUUAUCUUUAUUGUUUUCAUUAUUCUUUGCUAGAAUUGAUGAUAAAAUAAGCGCUGGGGCACUUACCUGAUCGUAUCCGUUUUAGAAACUGAAGGUAAUAAAGUUGAUUGUAGGGAGAUAUAUUUUCGGAGAGAAAAUGUCUUCCUUAAAUACUAGGAGAAGAAGAUACUGAUUGCUGGAUAGGAUAUGGGGAGAAGAGAAUUCGAGAUUUUGCUCACUUCUCGACAACUCCUAAGGAAUCUGAUAAAGUUCUAAGGCUCCAUCAACUUUUACUUUGUUUAGUUGAGCAAAAGAUCCUGUUAAAUAGAUCGCUCUUUCUUCUAAAGCAUCACAACAGUACUUUGAUUAACCUUGCCACCAGAUAAUCAUUGAUCAAAUGUUGGUCAAAACUUUUUCUUCUGCCUUGGCACUACAACCUUGAGAGGUCGUACCGACCUGCCAUUUCUGGCUUUCUGUGACUCGUAGCAAAGUAGUCAGCCUUACGUACGGGGAGGCGGUCUGGAUGGGAUUUGAACCCCGGGCCCUGCCGUGUGAAGACCGGCGCCGCUGUCGCCUCGGCCCCUGUGGUCAAAAGAGUCAACCAAUAUAUUUGACGACGUUAUUUACUUGGUACCGUCAGCACAAACUCUGAGUUAAGAAGGUAGACGUCGCGUGAUUCUUCUCUUUUCCUGGCGGAUGUUGAUCCACAUUUUGGAAUAUAUCCUCCCUUCUAAUUAACGAUUGGGAACCUCUAAUGAAGGUUUCCCAACAAGAGUCAUACGAGGCCAACAGUAAAGAAAGUAUGGUGGACAAUUUUACUUUUUUGGUACACUCGGAACAAACGGAACAAAUCUUCAACGGACCGUAUGGCCUAAUUAAGAUGUAACAGUUCGUUUAAAAAAUACCUAACAAAAACAAGAUUUGCAUCGAAAUUCACUGCGGCCACGGCAAAAGCCGGAGACGUUCCUUGAAGCACUGAGUUGAGAUGUCGAAGUCGAAGCAAUCCGAAACAGUGUUGAAGACAGCCGACAUGCGGAACAUAGGGUUAGACCGACCAGCGCUGGAAUGGGGUUGAGCGAGCCGUAGAGUUUCUCUAGACAUAAGUUUUCGGGAUGGUGCGUAGAUAUCGACUCGAUGCAACAAAUGCGAUGAGUCGAUAGAGCCAUUUCGCAAUCCAGCGAUGAAAGAGCACUGUGCAUUACGUCUUCUAACCGAAAGAGGCCUAGAAGACGGCACCGCGCAGCAUACGGAGGAAGAUUAUUGCGAUCCUGCCAAGGAAGUAGGCGCUGGGUAUAUCGCGUGAGCUUACAUUGAAUCGCCUCAAGUCGAGCUAUUGAAGAAGAAGUACUUGGGCUCCAGACUACGCACGAAUAUUCCAGAACCGAACGAACGAAUACAGUUGUAGACAGCUUUGAUGCACAUGGGGUUGCGGAAUUCAUUAGUUGUCCGGAUAACCACGCCAAGUAAUUAAGUUCCUCUGGCUACAACGUCAUCGGUAUGCUGUUUAAAGUUCAAACUAUAGUCAAGCAGAACGCCCAGGUCUUUGGCAUGAUUUUGUUGCUUAACUGCAGUGCCGUCCAUGAAGUACGUACCAGUAACUGGGCUCCUGCAUCGACGAAAAGACACACAGAAGCAUUUCUCUAUGCAGAUAGUCGAUUACGCUUGCACCACGAACAGAAGAUUUCGAUGCAGUCUUGCAGGAAUAUACAAUCACCUGUGUUGUGAAUAGGCGCAAAAAUGUUUGCAUCGUCGGUAAACAGAAGUUGGACAUCGUGUGGUACGUACAUAGCUAUAGCUGGCUGUAGUCCAAUUUUUCAGAUCCAAUAUUUCUUCUCUGCUGGAGAAAAUAAAAACAUCUCAUGAGGGAUAGUUUCCGGCCCUGAGAUUCUGAUGAAUCUGAAUGUAAACAAUCUAUCGUCAAAACGUUCCUAUCAGGAUUUGAAGGAACCUAUAACUGGAAAUCUUGAAUCAGCUGGUCGUGAAGACUUAUAGGUUACAAAAAUCACUCGGUUGGGUAUUGCACCAUUUUUGUAGAACUCUCAAUAGAUGGUCGAGUGAAUGAAAAGAGGCCAUAACUUCAACUCCCAGAAAAUCCUGAAGACUUAAAACUCCACAUACCCCCCUAGUGAAGCUAUAUCUAUUUUUAUUUACCAGAUCUGGUCUAACUCGGAUGUCUUACCAUUAACUUAUCUUCAAGAAUCGUUAUACUGAUCAGAAACAUUUUAAUAUUGUUUAGAUCAUGAUUUAGCAAGUGUGAUUUAUUGUGACAGAGAAAUUUCCUCGAAAAACUCUAUAAAAAUAGUAUUAUUGAACAAUUUACCUGCCUUUGACAUCCAGAACGCUCUACCUGCUCUAGUGUGCGUCCAGGAAAAUAAAGAAAUAAAAGGUCAGCAAUUUAAUUAACCAUCCUGGUCGAUAACCUGUCAACCGAGAUUCUGUUCCGGGUUUCUGAUAAGAUUAAAAGUGACAUGUCAACACGGCGAACAACCUAAACAAAAAACAGAAAACUUCAAUUAAAAAAGAGAAGAUUAAAUUGACAAGUAUAGAUUGCAAUAUAUAUGCUAAUCAUCUCGAUCGAACCAGUCCAGCUCAUGCCCCAUCCUGAUUAAGUUCUUGAUCGAUGUGCACCUGAGAGCAGCAUCACAGCCUCGAUCACGAUGAUAAGCUGUACGAGAUCGUUCCGAAGCCCCAUUUGGGUGUCAAUAAAAUUAUUAAAUUUUUAAUUGAUUCUCAGCUUCCCUUCCUUGAGAGCACACCACACUGCCGAGGGACUUUCAUAUCAUUUUUCAGAACCAGCCCGUGUCUCGCUUACCUCCGAUGGUUUGUCCGUCCGCUGGUUUGAGAACGCUGGUGAAGCUAACCGUAAAUGACUUCAUUUAUUAUGUCGAUAAUUAUACGCUUCAUCAUUUCGGCUUCUCCCAAUGGGUGUGCGUAUGACAGCGACAGGGUGGUUGACUCAAUCUUCCUUAAGGGUGGUCCCGCACACGACGAAGCAAGUGGCGACUGCAAACGUUCAAACCACCACCCCGACACCAUAACCGGCGGCAACGGUCCGGAUCCUGCAGAGUUUCCCUUCGAUUGAAAAUAAUUAUUCACAAAUUAUCUUCGGCGGCAAGCGACGGCACACACAAGAUGGGGUUGACUACUACCACCAUCACUGGCACUACUACUAUUGGCUGCUGGAGCCCACCGUGAUGUCCCUGCUCGAGCAGUCGUCCACCGAGCGGGGGUUAUUUCGCUGCACAAACGCAAAUGACCGCUACCAAUCACUGUCAACGCGAUCUAAACCGGGGCGUCCUGCGGUUUGGCCAUUCCGAUCCGGCAGCUAAGGCCGGCGCGUAAUGGUGGGUCGUUGAGUUUUGUCUGCAUCCCGUCCGGGCGACUUUAUCAAGCGAUCUUCGAACGAUCAAACUCCGCUGGGCCGGUGUGUACGGAACCGUUGCUUUCAUAUCGUUUAUUAUGACUCGGCAGAGUUGACCGUCGUGCUGGGUGUGUUACAAAUUAAACGCCAAUCGGGAACCACGUUCGGUGGAGGGGCACCUGUGAAAUGGGAUAUUUGGGGCGAGAGAGAAAGAUCCCUAAGGAAGGGUGGGGUUUUAUAGUGGUGUUGAUGAAUGGAUUUUCCAUUUCUUUUUUUUUUCAAACGAAUGCUGAAAGCAGUGCGAUUAAACAAGUGCAAAUGACUGUCCGAUUUAGCGACUGUCGUUAGGCGAUUAGAUGAUUUGUUUUGAUUGGGUUAAGACUAAUUGGAUGUUGCUCCAUUAGGGGAUUGAUAUUAAAGGCUGCGUCACUAUCUAACUGAACCACUAAUUGCUAUUUGAGCUUUCUUGCGACGAGGAGGAUAGACUAUAGGCUUUAAUUGCUGUACCAAAUUUUAAAAUGACUCUUCGAACGUAACGCUGCAUAAGGACCGACGUUUCAUUCGUUACUAUUAUGCUUCGAAGAAUAAACUUAAGGAUUUACGAUCAUUUGUGUCCUGAGAAUCCGUGAAUUUACUGAACAAGACGAACGGAGACGAUAGUUCUAACUGCUAUAAAUUAUUUAUUCGAAACACCCCAUCAGGACGUGGAUAUUGUGCUUCUUUUGGAUAACGCUUGGUUUUUGGAGAGUCCAGCAAAUUAGUACCGUCAAUGGAGGUGACUUUCGGCCAAGAAGUGUAACUACAUCUUUCAUAUCCUGCCAAAAGAGCUUAUUGUCGAAGGUGUUGAUCAACAGAUGGUAGGCAACUCUGGCUUUGAGAACUUUAUCAAGAGAGCCAUUUUUAAGCUGAUUCAUACGUAUUCACAUGUACAUUCUGACUUUCGACUGUACAUUCGUUCCUUUUGGGAGGCAGGACCGAGGUUCAAAUCUUAUUCCCCUCAAAGUGACGACCUGACUAUCCAUCUGUGCGGUAUCAACAAGUCUAGUAGCCAGAAAUGUCAGCCAUGACCUAAGAGGUUGUUAAGUCAAGAAAGAAGAAGAAGAAGAAGAUGUACGUUCUGAUUCGGGGCAGGACUGGGGUUCAAAUCCCAUCCAGACCCGCCUCCCCGUGGCCGAGACCUUUCCAGGUUCAAGGAAGAAGAAGACAUACGUAUUCAAAUGAUGAAUACGUACCAACUAGCUGGGGAUGUCCUUCUUCAACAUUACCCUAUAAAGAGUAAUCUGAAUCUUCUGGAACAUUGUCUCUUACUCCACGCGCAGAUGUAGCAUUGGUUGGCGAAACGCCGCUGUAAAAGUUGCCUGUCAAAAGAUCGAGCAGGUUUAAAUUAUUGACAGCAGCGAUAGAGAUCCUGCUUAGAUUAUAGGAAAAACAAGUUUAGAAGUUAAGAAUCUAUAAGAACUAGAUAAUAAUAUAGAGACAUGAUGAGGAAUAUUGAAGAUAUUGCUUUUAGCAGUAGUUAUAGCCACAAUUGCCGAUAGGCUGCUUAUCUUAUUAGGAUGAAAAUUAUAAUUAUAGGAUUAUUAUUAGGAUGAUCCGUAAAGACCAGCUACAUGAACAGAGUAGUGAAACGAUUAUACCUGUUAUGUGAUUGUUCAUCAAAUUCGAAUUUAAAUCCACGUCACCCUCGUAGAAUGGAAUAGAGAAAGUCCCACUAAUAAAGGCCUGCAUGAUAGCCAGAUGAUGGUGCAUGAUAAU